rnacentral:piRNA from 1 species
UCAUUUCCUUAUAUUCAAUUU